ensembl:snRNA U6 U6 spliceosomal RNA
GUGCUCACUUUGGCAGCACAUAUAAUAAAAUCAGAAAGACGCAGAGAAGAUUAGCAUGCCCCCUGCACAAGGAUGACAUGCAAAUUCAUGAAGUAUUCCAUAUUUUU